CAGAGCUAAUUGUGAACGUUGCGAAUGACUACAUCGACUUAUUCAGCAACUUAGGAGAUGUAUCUGAAACUAUGGUUGGUAUAUUAGCGCAAAUAUUGGUUCCAGCAAUUCCACCAGAUGUUCAAUUCCUGGUAAAUGCUGCCGUUUCGAGCCUUCUACCUGAACUAAGUAUAGGUUUACCACCAGCAGUAAUUUUAAGCUAGACUAAAAACUUUGUAAUUUGUAAUAAUUUGUAAUAACGCCGUUCGUAACUAUUUUGUUAUUUAAGAAAAAUACAUAUUUGUGGAUA
rnacentral:lncRNA from 1 species